CUCUCUUCUACAAAACUCAGAGGGACUCUUCAGGAGCCACACGCUCUCAUCCAGCAGAAACUUUUUAAGAGGUGGACAACAACCCAGAGUAGACACAAAGCUGGUGCUCUUCCAGUAGAGUAGAGAUGGGGUUUCACCAUGUUGGCCAAGCUGAUCUCGAACUCCUGACCUCAAGUGAUCCACCCUCCUUGGCCUCCCAAAGUGCUGGAAUUACAGGCGUGAGCCACCGUGCCCAACCAGUGAGGCCACGUUUCUAAAAGAAGAAAGAAACGACAAACUAAAAUACGUGACUGUGUAGAUGAGAAAGGACAUGAAAUGAAACAGGAAAAAGACAGGGUCUCACUCUGUUGCCCAGGCUGGAGUGCAGUGGUGUGAUCAUGGCUCACUGCAGCCUCAACCUCCCAGUCUCAAGACAUCCUCCUGCUUCAGCCUCCCAAGUAGCUGGGAUUACACGUGUGCUCCACCACAGGACAUGUUUACAACAACUCUGUUUUUCAGAUGAAGACAUUGAGACACAUAGAGGAGAAGUAUUUGAUCAAAGAUCAUAUAGCUACUGUGGCCUAAAUGAAUGGAUAACAUCUCAGUCUGAAGUCAGCAUGGAGUCGAGUCAUUGGGAUGAUUUCUGUUUACUAGAUUGCCAAUUCAUACUUUAUCUGCCAAUCUAAUUUCCUUAGAGUCCCUGUUUGUCCCUGCAGAAUAAAAAACAUAUUGCUUACUGUAUAAAUUAUACAUUGUCUAAUAACUGGUUAUAGUUAGUUGAAGCAAGUUACUAAUGAAUAUGUAAUCUUGGAUUUGAUUCUAGAAUUUACCCGUUAGCUUGUCUUUUCUUCCCCUAUUAAGAGCCUGAGCCUCCUGUCAAUCUCUAAAUUAAAAGCUUCUUCAUAGCCUACUCUUUCAACCUAAUCUCCUUUCCUUUUUCAACAGGCAGACUAGGAUCCUUCUCUUCACUUCCACCAACCUCCUAUGCACAUUGCUGCUUCCACACUUGUGCUCAGAACCCCCUGGACCAGUUCAUCCUGCUUCACUGCCUGUUCUAGUCUAUCCUUCUUAAGGCUCAGCUCAUAGAGCCUUCCAGGAAUGCUAGCCCCCAGUGAUCUAGCCCUCCUCUGAGCUAACCAGCUGCAUGUGGCCCAUUCCACUUUGUUGAUGCUUGAUAAUACUGAUCAUAGUAACACUGUGUCUUGUUCCAGUUUUUACAUUAUCACCAUUCUUUACAGUCCAUGGCAAUAAAUGUUUGUCAAAUG